UACAGAGACUGCAAGCGUUAUUCGGAUUCACUGGGCGUAAAGGGUGCGCAGGCGGCCGAGUGUGUUAGGCGUGAAAGCCUGAGGCUCAACCUCAGAAUUGCACCUAAAACUACACGGCUAGAGCAUUGGAGAGGGUAGCGGAAUUCACGGUGUAGCAGUGAAAUGCGUAGAUAUCGUGAGGAACACCAGAGGCGAAGGCGGCUACCUGGACAAUUGCUGACGCU
rnacentral:rRNA from 1 species